rnacentral:lncRNA from 1 species
AGUCUCCCUGUAAGGAGGAGCUUGGUCAGAUCCCUUCUAUUACUGGAAUUUAUUUUAUCCAGCUGACCAUCAAGUUUAGUCAAAUCCCCUCCCAAAAAAAGACAGAUUUCUACGAGUGAUCCUGGGACCCAGCGCUCAGCCCUUCAGAAUGGCCUAUCUCUUAGAAGGCAGAUUUGUGUUAAGUAAAAUCACACACAGGCAACUCCUCUGACAAAACAAAUAGAAAUCUGGAUAAAACUGCUCCCAACUUCUUUACUGUAAACAAUCCAAAACGCAGCAGAGCACUAAAUCGGGUCUUUAUCUUUGUGGGUUUGUUUCUGUUUAAUUUUCAGUAAUAACUUCUAGACACCCCGUGCUCCAUCCUUUUAUGGUCAGGAACUCCUGACAUGGAGACUUGCUUAAGUCUCAAGAUGCUGCUGUUUUCACAUUAUCAGAUUUUUACUGGUCAGUGUGAAGCUGGUUUUCCUCUCCCCGCCCCCUCUCUGUCAUAAAAGCAUCUGCUCCUUUCUCCUCCUCAAAUCACAAACAAAACAAGAACAAACAAACAAACAAACAAACACACAGAAAAGAGGGCUGGAGACUUGACUCAAAUAAUAAAGUGUACCAGGACCUGAGUUUGAUUCUCAGAACUUAUAAAAAAACUAAGCUGGGCAUGAUGUCACACUGAAAUCUCAGCAGCGGGGACAUCUAUCCAGCUCACCACCCAAUUCAGUCGAAUCGCCUCCCCAAAGAAGACAGAGAUUUCUAUCAGCAAACAGGCAGAGACUUGCUGUUCAACAACUAGCUUUCUCCAUGAGCUACAGGCCAAUGAGAGACCCUGCAUUAAGUAAAGCAGUGAAAAUAAUAAUAAUAAUAAUAAACAAUAAUAGUGCCUGAAAAUGACAUUUCAAGUUGGCUUCACAUGUGUGUGCAUUCAUAUGUAUGUGUACAUAUGCACACAGAAACACACACACACACACACACACACACACACACACACACACACACACACACGAAAAAACUCUAGAGAACAGGACUCUUAAGCUACGCAGUUUCUAGUCCCUAAAAUACACUUUGGCUCUUCAACUUCCAUAGCAAUACCAUAUGAUGGCAAGGAGUUUUGAGGGACCUGAGAGAUGGCUCAGUAGUAGUUCUAUGUUUCCUUGUAGAGGCAAUGGGUUUGAUUCCUAGCACCUACAUGGUGGCUCCCAACCUUCUGCAACUUUAUUUUCCUCUGUGGAUACCAGACACAUAUAUUGAUGCAUGGAGGCAAAACACCUAUAGCUUCAAAAUAAGACAAAUAAAUCUAAUAUUUUUAAAAAUUAUUUUAAGCUAGUUCUAAAUAGAUGAUCCAAAUCUGAGGGGGGAAAAAAACCCUUCAUAUACUUACCUAACUUCGUCAGCUAGCAAAUACUUGGACAAAGAGACACACCUCUUCCUAUAUUUGAAAAUAUUUGUAAGAAACCAGCUGGCAUGGUUGGUCAUUAUUGUCAGUUAUGAGUUAGACUGAAAGAACUCUUGUUUAUGAUUCCUAAAGGAUUAUUUUGUAAUCCAAGUGCAUGAAAACAUGUUUAAUACAUUGUUCUACCAAAUGACAGUUCCUAUAGCUUGCAACUCAAAAUGUCCCGGUGGCGAAAUCCUCCUUAGUCACCUGCUAUAACUUCACUGGAAUGUGUUGAGACACGGAGUCUAUAAAAGCAGCUAUACCCUUGUUAAGCUGUUUGGUCACAUAAUGUAGGGCCUCAUCCAUGGACACUGUCAAGAGGAGAUUGGCUUUUAAACCGUGUGCUUUAAGCAUAUUGAGAAACUAGUUUCUAGAAACCCAACUUUUCAUUGAGCGCUCUUCAAAGUCACGCUAGUGUAUUUCCGACAGCUAUAACAAUGACAUAUGAGUCACACACAUGGUUUCGAGAUUCCUAAGCUGGCUUUGUGAGACUGCUGAUGUCAUAUCGGAACUCACCUCCAGGUCUCUGAGUUGUGAAGCUGCCCUGCAGUUCUCCCAGACUCGAGGUCCGAGAGAAACCAAACAUUCAGAUCCUUUCCCUAUUGAACACCUGUCUCUACUACCAAGGAAAGAUAUUUCUGAGGUUCAACCUGCAAAGGUGUCUUGAUUAGCCCACUGUGGUGAUAACAUCUAAAAGAGCAAAAGGAACCUCGGGGUUGAGCACCUCGCAGGUUCGCCUCGGAACUCCAGCUCCGCUGCUUUCUGAGUGAUUUCACAUGAAGGUUGCUUCAUCUCCAUGAGCCCAUAUUAUCUAACCUGGAAAACCAGGAAACUGUCCCAAUCUCACUGGGCUGGGAAAGUAUAAAGUUAGUACAGAAUGACAUCUGUCCUAACAAGGGGAUCCAACAUGGACACCGGUGUUUGGGAACCGCCUUGCCUCUGGUGAACCUGAUGACUAGUUUUCUUGAUUUUAAGCACAAAAUGACUAAGAAAAUAAUCUCCUCUGGUUCUGGGC